rnacentral:lncRNA from 1 species
UGACCAUCAGUGACCAGAGUGACCAUCAGUGACCAUCAGUGACCAUCACUGACCAUCACUGACCACCACUGACCAUCACUGACCAUCACUGACCAGAGUGACCAUCACUGACCAUCACUGACCAUCACUGACCAUCACUGACCAUCAGUGACCAUCACUGACCAUCACUGACCAUCACUGACCAUCAGUGACCAUCACUGACCAUCACUGACCAUCACUGACCAUCAGUGACCAUCAGUGACCAGAGUGACCAUUACUGACCAUCAGUGACCAUCAGUGACCAUCACUGACCAUCACUGACCAUCACUGACCACCACUGACCAUCACUGACCAUCACUGACCAUCAGUGACCAUCAGUGACCAGAGUGACCACUGACCAUCACUGGCCAUUACUCUGGGCUGUACUGGGAGCACUGGGAUCCCUCAGAUCCCAGACUGGAGCGUCCCAGGUGUGUCCAGGUGUGUCCCCAGGUGUGUCCAGGUGUUCCCAGGUGUGUCCAGGUGUGUCCCAGGUGUCCCCAGGUGUCCCCAGGUGUAUCCAGGUGUCCCCAGGUGUCCCCAGGUGUAUCUCAGGUGUCCCCAGGUGUGUCACAGACCUGCAGCAGCAGGUGACAGAUCUCCAGGUGUCCUUUCUGCGCGGCCGCGUGCAGCGCCGAGCGCUUG